rnacentral:rRNA from 1 species
UACGGGGGGAGCAAGCGUUGUUCGGAUUUACUGGGCGUAAAGGGCGCGUAGGCGGCCAGCACAAGUCAGUUGUGAAAUCUCCGAGCUUAACUCGGAACGGUCAACUGAUACUGUGCGGCUAGAGUGCAGAAGGGGCAACUGGAAUUCUUGGUGUAGCGGUGAAAUGCGCAGAUAUCAGGAGGAACACCGGUGGCGAAGGCGGGUCUCUGGGCCGAUACUGACGCUGAGGAGCGAAAGCGUGGGGAGCGAACAGG